CGGGCGAGUAACGCGUGGGUAACCUGCCUUGUACAGGGGGAUAACAGUUGGAAACGGCUGCUAAUACCGCAUAAGCGCACGGCAUCGCAUGAUGCAGUGUGAAAAACUCCGGUGGUAUAAGAUGGACCCGCGUUGGAUUAGCUAGUUGGUGAGGUAACGGCCCACCAAGGCGACGAUCCAUAGCCGACCUGAGAGGGUGACCGGCCACAUUGGGACUGAGACACGGCCCAA
rnacentral:rRNA from 1 species